rnacentral:sRNA from 1 species
UGACAGAUGUACUUUGUUCAGGAUCGC